CAAGGGAACUGUUUCUAUUGUUGAUCUCCCACCAGAAGUCUCUUUGAUGACUUGGAACUACUCUGAUGAAGACACUACCAUAGGGCCAGUCUAAAUGGCCAGUGGGUUUCGAUAAGCAGCCGUUCCUCCCAUGAAGCAGUUUCUGGUGCUGGUGAAUUUCUGUAAUAGCCAAAAGUACUGCCAUGCUGAUUAGCAGCUUUGCUGUUGACCACAAAAGGCUUAUUGGGUAUUUACUGUAGAUAAUGAGGAAUGCUGCUGACUCCCUCCCAGGAUCUUGUUUGACUCUUGGGUGUUUGUGGAGGAGUCACAGGAAUGGACUGGACUCCCCCACAGAGCAAUAUAAGGCUGAAGCACUGGUGAGCAGUUUCCAGCUUCAUUCCUUCCUUCCUGAGGCCAUUGAGCUCAGGUGCCCCAUUUUCAAGUCAGGAAGCAAUGAGAAAAUAUAUUAACCCCUUGGGAAGGUGUAGGUUUGGAGUAGGAUGGCAGAUUCCAAGUGGAAGGGGAAGGAACAAAGCCUGAAGUAGUGAAGCAGUGGUUUAUCUUGGCUAUCAGAAUCACCUGAGGAACUUUUGAAAUCCUAAUACCCAGGCCGUUUCUGACCAAGUAAAGCAGAAUUCCUAACGGUGUUACCCAGGCAUGAGGAUGUUUCAAAGUUCCCAGGUGCUGUCCAGGGGCAGCCAGGUGUGGAAGACCGCCGUUCCUUGUGGAUGGCAAGGUGAUGCUGGAGGCUGGGUCUCCCUGAAGCCACAGCCAGAGUUUUGUCCCUGGCUCAGUGAAUUCCCUCUGCCGUUUGCAGCCAGCUGGGCUGUGGAGUGCUGUUAGCAGACUCAAUGCAGUGUGUAGAUACUGAUGUUUUUCCUUGAAAUCUUCAUGUCUAUCAAGAAAAAUGGAGUCUGUCCUGAAGGUUGUCCUCCAGAGUACCCUGCCUUUGAGUUUGAGUCAUUCAUGAAGAGACUUCAUAAAGACAGCAAUGGAAUACUUGUAAAUAGCCCCAUCUUGUAGAGUGGUGUCAUUUCUACAUUUCUUACACCUGUAAUUCUGUAGGAUGUAUAUAGUUUAGGGGAUUUUUUUGUUGUUUUUAGAAAAGUCAACAUGUCUGUUUUUAUUUAUUGCUUGAAAAAGAUCAUUUGAAGAAAAAUAAAUACAUUUUCCACCACUUGUGCCUUGGUUUAAGCUCUCCUUUAAAAGAGACCUGCUAUGAUGACACAGAAGGGGAGGAAAGAAAACCUGGUAAUUCCAUCAUGUAACUCCACCAGCUUAUCAUCUACAGUGGAGACUGGCCAGGGAGCCCUGAGCCCACUGGACUGAGGUUCUAAGGUGUGCUGAGCACAGGAUGCAGAGAGAGAUAAGGGCGGCUCCUCAGUGGGAC
rnacentral:lncRNA from 1 species